AGAGAUGUGAAAUGCAAGAUUUUAGGAAGACUGUUUUCUGUGUUGAGAAGUUACGAGGCUGAAAAUCGGUUUUACAGUGAAAAGGUAGCUUCUACCCCGUUAACCAUGGAGCAACCUCUGCCACUACAUAAUAGAUUAAACACCAGUGAAAACUCUGCAUAAAGCAGACGACAAAAAUGAAAUUAAGCCCUGCUGCAAGAAGAGUGAACGAGGUGACCCCACUACAUCUCUUCCAACCCAAAUGAUUCUGUGAUCAGGUAAUAGAGGCGACUUAGUAGAACAUCACCUGCAACUCCAGAGACCUGGGUUCAGUUUCCUGCUCUGCAACAGACUUCCUGGAUGUCCCUGGCCAAGUCUCUCUGUACCUCCAUUCCCUGAUUGUAAAGUGGAUGUAAUAGCACUGCCUUACUGGUAUAGUGAGGAUAAAUAAAGAUGAUGCUGAGAUACUACAGUAA